rnacentral:rRNA from 1 species
UACGAAGGGGGCUAGCGUUACUCGGAAUGACUGGGCGUAAAGGGCGCGUAGGCUGUUUGGAUCGUUAGGCGUGAAAUUCCUGGGCUCAACCUGGGGGCUGCGCUUAAUACAUUCAGACUGGAGUGCGGAAGAGGGUCGUGGAAUUUCCAGUGUAGAGGUGAAAUUCGUAGAUAUUGGAAAGAACACCGGUGGCGAAGGCGGCGACCUGGUCCGUAACUGACGCUGAGGCGCGAAAGCGUGGGGAGCAAACAGG